rnacentral:lncRNA from 1 species
UGUGUGAAAUGACUGACGAUAUUUGGUAAGCAUCAGUACUCAAUAAGGGUUCAUUUCCUCCUUUCUUUAUGUAUCACUUUCUCAAAUUUAAAAUGCUUCAAAGUCAUACAAUUCAUAUUUAAGUUUUGAGACAGGUGGAAACCUGCUGUUGAAGAAAACUAUCAGUAGAAGAGUCAGAAAGUAAAAAAAUCCCCAUAGUUACAUCUAUUACACAGUUGCCAGGAGCUUUAAUGUGAAGCUGACCUGAAGUUAGGUACUGAAAAAACCAACUUUUUCCCUUCACAGAGACGUGACCCAGGAUUUCAUUUUUGUCUUGCUGUUCUAGGAAGUGGAGGUUAAGCAGGUUCACAUUAGUCAGAGAAGAUGGAGGUGGCAGGAAUGGGACCACUUCCUUCAGCACCUGGGACAGUAGCUGCCCCAGGACUAGGCACACCUUGCCCCACGACUCAGGCCGCAGGGGUUUCUGGGGCAGAGUCCUAGUCUCAGACCCUUUCAGGAGUCUACAAGUUGAGGGACAGAAAACUUAAUGGUUAACUAAUAAGAAAGAAGCCCUGUAACAUAAAAGAGCAAGUAUUUAAUAUAUUCUAAGCUGAAAAUCACAUUUGUUUUUCUUUGCCUUCAGAGUUCUUAUUUAAAAUGUUUGUCUUGUACCCUAAAUGAUACCUUAUCAUAGAAGAAAAAUGUGAAUAAAAAAAUAAGAAGUAAAAAUCAUGUCCAUAGCCCAAACAUAUCAAAGUAAUCACUGUUCAUAUCCUUUCACACAAAUUGCCACGUUUUAAAUGUAUAUGUAAUCCUUAUAUCAGUAAAAAUUUGGCUUUACAUCUGAAUGUAUUACAAUUACAUCAUGUAAUCGCCUUUAAA